rnacentral:piRNA from 1 species
UGCAAGUGUAUUACAUGUAGAGAGUUGC